UCAGAACGAACGCUGGCGGCAGGCCUAACACAUGCAAGUCGAGCGCACCUUCGGGGCGAGCGGCGGACGGGUUAGUAACGCGUGGGAACGUACCCUUUUCUACGGAAUAGCCUCGGGAAACUGAGAGUAAUACCGUAUAAGCCUCCGGGGGAAAGAUUUAUCGGGAAAGGAUCGGCCCGCGUUAGAUUAGAUAGUUGGUGGGGUAACGGCCUACCAAGUCUACGAUCUAUAGCUGGUUUUAGAGGAUGAUCAGCAACACUGGGACUGAGACACGGCCCAGACUCCUACGGGAGGCAGCAGUGGGGAAUCUUAGACAAUGGGCGCAAGCCUGAUCUAGCCAUGCCGCGUGUGUGAUGAAGGCCCUAGGGUCGUAAAGCACUUUCGCCAGAGAUGAUAAUGACAGUAUCUGGUAAAGAAACCCCGGCUAACUCCGUGCCAGCAGCCGCGGUAAUACGGAGGGGGUUAGCGUUGUUCGGAAUUACUGGGCGUAAAGCGUACGUAGGCGGAUUAGAAAGUAUGGGGUGAAAUCCCAGGGCUCAACCCUGGAACUGCCUCAUAAACUACUAGUCUAGAGUUCGAGAGAGGUGAGUGGAACUCCGAGUGUAGAGGUGAAAUUCGUAGAUAUUCGGAAGAACACCAGUGGCGAAGGCGGCUCACUGGCUCGAUACUGACGCUGAGGUACGAAAGUGUGGGGAGCAAACAGGAUUAGAUACCCUGGUAGUCCACACCGUAAACGAUGAAUGCCAGUCGUCGGGUAGCAUGCUAUUCGGUGACACACCUAACGGAUUAAGCAUUCCGCCUGGGGAGUACGGUCGCA
rnacentral:rRNA from 1 species